rnacentral:rRNA from 1 species
GGACCCGCACAAGCGGUGGAUGAUGUGGAUCAAUUCGAUGCAACGCGAAGAACCUUACCUACCCUUGACAUGCCAGGAAGCCCGAUGAGAGUUGGGUGUGCCCGAAAGGGAGCCUGGACACAGGUGCUGCAUGGCUGUCGUCAGCUCGUGUCGUGAGAUGUUGGGUUAAGUCCCGCAACGAGCGCAACCCUUGUCACUAGUUGCUACGGCAACGGGCACUCUAGUGAGACUGCCGGUGACAAACCGGAGGAAGGUGGGGAUGACGUCAAGUCCUCAUGGCCCUUAUGGGUAGGGCUUCACACGUCAUACAAUGGCGCAUACAGAGGGCUGCCAACCCGCGAGGGGGAGCCAAUCCCAGAAAGUGCGUCGUAGUCCGGAUUGCAGUCUGCAACUCGACUGCAUGAAGUCGGAAUCGCUAGUAAUCGCGGAUCAGCAAUGUCGCGGUGAAUACGUUCCCGGGUCUU